UACGUAGGGGGCUAGCGUUGUCCGGAUUUAUUGGGCGUAAAGAGCGUGUAGGCGGCCAGGUAGGUCUGCUGUGAAAACUCGAGGCUCAACCUCGAGACGUCGGCGGAAACCAUCUGGCUAGAGUCCGGAAGAGGAGAGUGGAAUUCCUGGUGUAGCGGUGAAAUGCGCAGAUAUCAGGAAGAACACCCGUGGCGAAGGCGGCUCGCUGGGCUGCUCCUGACGCUGAGGAGCGAAAGCAUGGGGAGCGAACAGG
rnacentral:rRNA from 1 species